GAUGAAGAACGCAGCGAAAUGCGAUAACUAAUGUGAAUUGCAGAAUUCAGUGAAUCAUCGAGUCUUUGAACGCACAUUGCGCCCCCUGGUAUUCCGGGGGGCAUGCCUGUCCGAGCGUCAUUGCUGCCCUCAAGCACGGCUUGUGUGUUGGGCUCCGUCCCCCCGGGGACGGGCCCGAAAGGCAGCGGCGGCACCGAGUCCGGUCCUCGAGCGUAUGGGGCUUUGUCACCCGCUCUGUAGGCCCGGCCGGCGCCAGCCGACAACCCAUCAUCCUUCUCAGGUUGACCUCGGAUCAGGUAGGGAUACCCGCUGAACUUAAGCAUAUCAAUAAGCGGAGGA
rnacentral:misc_RNA from 1 species